UGGGGAAUUUUGGACAAUGGGCGAAAGCCUGAUCCAGCAAUGCCGCGUGUGUGAAGAAGGCCUUCGGGUUGUAAAGCACUUUUGUCCGGAAAGAAAUCCUUGGCUCUAAUACAGUCGGGGGAUGACGGUACCGGAAGAAUAAGCACCGGCUAACUACGUGCCAGCAGCCGCGGUAAUACGUAGGGUGCAAGCGUUAAUCGGAAUUACUGGGCGUAAAGCGUGCGCAGGCGGUUUGCUAAGACCGAUGUGAAAUCCCCGGGCUCAACCUGGGAACUGCAUUGGUGACUGGUAGGCUAGAGUAUGGCAGAGGGGGGUAGAAUUCCACGUGUAGCAGUGAAAUGCGUAGAGAUGUGGAGGAAUACCGAUGGCGAAGGCAGCCCCCUGGGCCAAUACUGACGCUCAUGCACGAAAGCGUGGGGGAGCAAAACAGGAUUAGAUACCCCUGGUAGUCCACGCCCUAAACGAUGUCAACUAGUUGUUGGGGAUUCAUUUCCUUAGUAACGUAGCUAACGCGUGAAGUUGACCGCCUGGGGAGUACGGUCGCAAGAUUAAAACUUAAAUGAAUUGACGGGGUCAUAGCUGUUUCCU
rnacentral:rRNA from 1 species